AACGAACGCUGGCGGCAGGCUUAACACAUGCAAGUCGAGCGCCCCGCAAGGGGAGCGGCAGACGGGUGAGUAACGCGUGGGAAUCUACCCAUCUCUACGGAAUAACGCAUGGAAACGUGUGCUAAUACCGUAUACGUCCUUCGGGAGAAAGAUUUAUCGGAGAUGGAUGGGACCGCGUUGGAUUAGCUAGUUGGUGGGGUAAAGGCCUACCAAGGCGACGAUCCAUAGCAGGUCUGAGAGGAUGAUCAGCCACACUGGGACUGAGACACGUCGCGGCAUCCUACGGGAGGCAGCAGUUGGGAAUAUUGAACAAUGGGCGCAAGCCUGAUCCAGCCACGCCGCGUGAGUGAUGAAGGCCCUAAGGUUGUAAAGCUCUUUCACCGGUGAAGGUAAUGACGGUAACCGGAGAAGAAGCCCCGGCUAACUGCGUGCCAGCCGCCGCCGUAAGAC
rnacentral:rRNA from 1 species